ACCUAAUUAGAGAAGGGAUUCUAGUCCUUUUGGACUCUCUCUUUGUGCUUGAGUCAAACUCAAUUUAAUCCUAAUCUAAUUAGAAUUUGUUACACCCAUGAAUAUGAGAAUUUAUAAUCCAAAUAGGAACUCUUAUAUUCUUGUUUAGAUCCUAUUCUAAUUAGGAAUUAAGUCAAACUCAAACCCUAAUUCAAUAGGAAAUUAUCCUCCGAUCCAAU
rnacentral:lncRNA from 1 species